CCGCUGGCUGACAGCUGGUUCCAUCUUAUCCUGAUCUACCUCGAGAAGAUUCUUCUUCAAGAGGACCUCUUCUUACUUGGAUCGUUCUUCGAGGAGAUUUCUCUCCACUUACAUCUUCCCUUAUAGGGUUCCACCCUAUUGAGAUCCUCUUCGAAGGGUUUUAACUUGUUGCAAUCUUCCUCGACGGGUUUCAACUUUUCUCGAAGAGUUUCACCUUAUUGAUAUCAUCUUUGAAAGGUUUUACUUUAUUGAGAUCUUUGUCGAAAAGUUUCACUUUUUCUCAAAAAAUUUCACCUUGUUGAGACUUUCCUCGACUAGAUCUCUCCAAAUGUAGAUUUUUCUCGAGAAGAUUUCUCCUCAAGCAGUCUGUUAUUAAAACCACUCAAAAUUCACACCCACAGUGGGCUUUCUCAGUUCAUCCUUAAAUAGUUCUCUUGGUAGAAUCAAACAAUAUUUCUUCAACAUGAUUGAGUUGCCUUGCAGAACAAAUCUGCACUUACCUGACACGAAGUGAGGCCUUCAAAUUGACAGGUUUAUGCCAGACACGAAGUCUUGGGAGGCAAUUGUAGAUUUUUAAGUAGGGUGGAUACAGAUUCCUCUGCAGUAUAUCGGGUACGUAUAUUUCUUUUUUCCGCUAUGAUUAUUGGUCUUCACCGUGUGAUUUCAUGACUUGUUGAAGUAGAUAGAUCUUAAAGUUUACCAUUUCAUUUGAUCAUUUCAGCUACUUUACUUCAGAUAAAGGAAAGCGUUCAGAAUGAAAAAGCAUGCACAAUACGUAUCCUGAAUUACAUGUUGCUACUUAACUACUAUUCAAUAUCUUCCAAAUGAACUGACAUUUUUCAUCUAAUUUAACUUUGUUAUUGUUUCAUUCUUAGGAAGGAUAAGAGAGUUCAUUUUGGAAUCUUCUUCAUGUAUCACGUAUUCGUAAUGCAACAGGCAAGGUAUUUCAUAUGUUUUGUUUUGAUGUCUCUAAUUGAAUCUUACUUUCUGUUAAAGUUUGUCAAUGAGAUUUCUACUGCCAACUUGAUAUGCCUUUGGCGCAAAGUAGGGAAGGAUAUGCCUUUUGAGUUGACUGACUUUGUCAAAUUCGUGAAUUCUUCUAAGCAAGCAGGAGAAGAGAAUUUCAUAUGAUUGAUGUUUCUACCAUAAUAGUUGUGCUUUCUUUGUGGUUGUGUGAUCUGAAUAACUUGAAAAGCUCGUCGGUACUAAAAUUUGCAUCACACGCUGUGAAUUUCUGUGUAUGUUUCACACCAUGGAUAGUAGGAAUCUUAGGAUCGAUAAAUCGAAUAGAAAUUUUUAUCUGGGAGAGAACAGUGGCAGAGAUGGAGAUGUGCAGUUUGUAUAGCAUUGUUGUUUUGUUCUCAUCAUCAAGAUUAUUAAUCAAGUGCAUCACUCUAAAAGGAGUUGCAUAAUUUCGUAUUAUACUUU